rnacentral:rRNA from 1 species
UACGUAGGGUGCAAGCGUUAAUCGGAAUUACUGGGCGUAAAGCGUGCGCAGGCGGUUUUGUAAGUCUGACGUGAAAUCCCCGGGCUCAACCUGGGAAUUGCGUUGGAGACUGCAAGGCUAGAAUCUGGCAGAGGGGGGUAGAAUUCCACGUGUAGCAGUGAAAUGCGUAGAGAUGUGGAGGAACACCGAUGGCGAAGGCAGCCCCUUGGGUCAAGAUUGACGCUCAUGCACGAAAGCGUGGGGAGCAAACAGG